CUGGCGGUGGCUACGGCGACGGGAGCUGGCGGCGCUGCGGGUCAGCGGUCGCGUAGGACCCAGCGGACUCGGCAGCCUGGGGCGCCCGGCGGAGCUGAACCGCGGCCCCCGGUGGUGGGCUCAGCCGGUCGUGCUGCGCGGGCGGCAAAUGAAGAUAAAACAAUGUCCGCCAACCUAAAAUACGUUUCCCUGGGAAUUUUGGUCUUUCAGACUACCAGUUUGGUUCUAACAAUGCGUUAUUCCAGAACUUUAAAAGAAGAAGGACCUCGUUAUCUAUCUUCUACAGCAGUGGUUGUUGCUGAACUUUUGAAGAUAAUGGCCUGCAUUUUAUUGGUCUACAAAGACAGCAAAUGUAGUCUAAGAGCACUGAAUCGAGUACUACAUGAUGAAAUUCUUAAUAAACCUAUGGAAACACUUAAACUUGCUAUUCCAUCAGGGAUCUAUACUCUUCAGAAUAAUUUACUGUAUGUGGCACUAUCAAAUCUAGAUGCAGCUACUUAUCAGGUCACGUAUCAGUUGAAAAUUCUUACAACAGCAUUAUUUUCUGUGUCUAUGCUUAGUAAAAAAUUGGGUGUAUACCAGUGGCUGUCCCUAGUAAUUUUGAUGACAGGAGUUGCUUUUGUACAGUGGCCCUCAGAUUCUCAGCUUGAUUCUAAGGAACUUUCAGCUGGUUCUCAAUUUGUAGGACUCAUGGCAGUUCUCACAGCAUGUUUUUCAAGUGGCUUUGCUGGGGUUUACUUUGAGAAAAUCUUAAAAGAAACAAAACAAUCAGUGUGGAUAAGAAAUAUUCAGCUUGGUUUCUUUGGAAGUAUAUUUGGAUUAAUGGGUGUAUACAUUUAUGAUGGAGAACUGGUAUCAAAGAAUGGAUUUUUUCAGGGAUAUAACCGACUGACCUGGAUAGUAGUUGUUCUUCAGGCACUUGGAGGCCUUGUAAUAGCUGCUGUUAUUAAGUAUGCAGAUAAUAUUUUAAAAGGAUUUGCAACCUCUUUAUCGAUAAUAUUAUCAACAUUGAUCUCCUAUUUUUGGCUUCAAGAUUUUGUGCCAACCAGGUAAAAUGUUCUUUUCUAUUUUUUUAAAUCCCCAGAAGUAUAUAGAAAAAUUAGAAUUCUUUGUAAGGUGAUCUGAUAAAUUUGAAGAAGCACUGAAAUAUAAUUUUAAAAAUGUAUUUAACUAUGUUUUAAAAAUAUUUCAAAUUAAAUUCAUGAAAGAAAGUCUUCUCCUGAAAAGUUUUUUAUACAAAUUUGGUUGGCCAGAAUUUUCCCAAUAAAUAGAUGUGAAUAUUUUCCCUGCAAAGUAAAAAAGUGAUAUAAAAAAGUUAAUACGUCAUAUAAAGUCAUAAAAAUAAGUCAUGUAAUGACAUUUUUAAAAUACGGAAUUUACAUUACUUCCUUGAAGAAGAUAGUUUAUAUAGAGAAUGUGGCUCAUGAGGAAACUCAAUUAGGUGGUAGCAGGAAGAGCAAUCUGGAAAGGAAUUGCAGCAGGAGUUAUAGGUGAGGAAGGAGACCCAGGACUCUGUAGUUUUAUGGAUGCUAAGGGAGGAGAUAGCAUCAGGAAAAAUUGAGUGUAAUGAAUAUCCAUUACAGACAGCAUUGAAAAUUCUAGUUUUUUGUUUAAUUUAUAAUCUCAGACUAGUGGGAUUAUAUUUUAAUUGUUUCCAGUACACCACUCUUGGUUUUCCUCCAACUUUACUCCUCUCCUGAUUUUCUCAACCUCUAAACUUUGGAAUCUCCCAAGCAUCUUUUAUUUAUUUAUUACUUUAUUAUUUAUAUGUUCAUAUUUUUGAGACAGGAUCUCAGUUUGUCACCCAGGAGAAUUGCUUGAACCUGGGAGGCGGAGGUUGCAGUGAGCCGAGAUCACACCACUGCACUCCAGCCUGGGCGACAGAGUGAGACUCCAACUCAAAAAAAUAAAUAAAUAAAAGUUAAGAUUCAGGCUGGUCACAGUGGCUCAUGCCUGUAAUUACAGCACAUUGGGAGUCUGAGGCAGAUCACUUGAGCCCAGGAGUUCAAGAUCAGCUUGGGCAACAAAGUGAGACCUCAGCUCUACAAAAAAUAGAAAAAUUAGCCAGGUGUGGUGGUUUGCACCUGUAGUCUCAGCUACUUAGGAGACUGAGCUGGGAUUGCUUGAACCCUGGAGGUCGAGGCUGCAGUGAGCCAUGGUGACAGCACUGCACUCCAGAGCCUGAGCGACAGAGUGAGACCCUGUCUUUAAAAAGAAAAAAAAAAAGUUAAUAUUUGUAGUCUAGUUUACAUAUCCCAUCUAAAUUCGUUUCUGAUUUAUCGUAAAGUAGACUAUAUCUAUAAAUAUAUCGGAUAAAGAGGAAACCAAGAACUCCCUGCAUUUAAUGUAAUUUCCUUUUGUAAAGCAUCCUAUAAAAAUUGGUCCUGAGUUUUGCUUAUUAUUAUCUUGGAUUUUAAACUAAACUUUACCUUGGUUUAACAUGACAGAAUAAAAUAUUCCUUUCAUAUGUUCAACUAAAGAAUUAAGGCCUUUUGUUAUUGAAUGUAUUGCAUACAAAAUCCCUAUUAAGGUGAAAUACAGAACUUAAAAUAUCUUUGCUUUGGAAGACAGUAUAGUGCAGUCAAUGAGAGUGCAGGCUGUAGAGUUAGACAUACCUGGGUUUGAUCCUCUUGAAGUUGUGGGACUUUAGACAAGUUAUUUAAAUUCUUUAAAACUGUUUCCUCAUGUGUAAAAAAUGAAUACUAAUACAUCUUCAUAGAUUUGCUGUGACAACUCAAUGAAAUAAUGCAUAUAAAGCACUUAGCCAGAUACCUGGAAUGUAGUAAGUACUCAAGAUUUGUUAGCCGUGUUACUGGAACAUUUUUCCCCAAAUUAUAAUUGUUUUUUAUAGUAAAGAAAUAGAAGGAACUUGUUCUGCUUUUAAUCUG